UGGAUAGGUACUCAAGAGGUGAAGAGGCUUGACUGGAAAUCAAGUAGGGUGUAAUAGCCGCGUGGGUUCGAUCCCCACUCUAUCCGU
rnacentral:tRNA from 1 species